rnacentral:lncRNA from 1 species
GCCAGGAGCCGCCGGCUGAGGGCGGCCGGAGCGAGCGAGGCACGGAGACCGGAGCGCCGGUAGAGCGAUGCAGACAGCUAUUGUGAUCACCGAGCAGCCGGUCUCUGUCUCCGUUCCUGUUGGGUACUCCUUCACUCUUCACUGCAGAGCUGAGGCCCACACCUCACUGCAGUACCAGUGGUUUUGUCAGUGCCAGAUUCCCGGAGCCACCAAGCAAGACUUGCCCAUCACUGCACAGAAGACCAAACUCUACACUUGCAGAAUUAACGACCUCUACAGAAAUGUGAUCUUCUCUGACUGGGUGAAGGUGGAGGUUCAUCC